rnacentral:misc_RNA from 1 species
GAUGAAGAACGUAGCGAAAUGCGAUAAGUAAUGUGAAUUGCAGAAUUCAGUGAAUCAUCGAAUCUUUGAACGCACAUUGCGCCCGCUAGUAUUCUGGCGGGCAUGCCUGUCCGAGCGUCAUUUCAACCCUCAAGCCCCCGGGCUUGGUGUUGGGGAUCGGCGAGCCUCCGCGCCCGCCGUCCCCUAAAUCUAGUGGCGGUCCCGCUGUAGCUUCCUCUGCGUAGUAGCACACCUCGCACUGGGAAACAGCGCGGCCACGCCGUUAAACCCCCAACUUCUGAACGUUUGACCUCGGAUCAGGUAGGAAUACCCGCUGAACUUAAGCAUAUCAAUAAGCGGAGGA